rnacentral:rRNA from 1 species
GAUUAACGCUAGCGGCAGGCAUAAUACAUGCAAGUUGAACGGCAGCACAGGUAGCAAUAUUGGGUGGCGAGUGGCGCACGGGUGCGUAACACGUAUGCAACCUACCCUAUACAGGCGAAUAACCUUUAGAAAUGAGGGCUAAUACGCCGUAGUAUUACAGAUGGGCAUCUAUUUGUAAUUAAAGAUUUAUCGGUAUAGGAUGGGCAUGCGUCCCAUUAGUUAGUUGGUAAGGUAACGGCUUACCAAGACGAUGAUGGGUAGGGGAUCUGAGAGGACUUACCCCCACACUGGUACUGAGACACGGACCAGACGCCUACGGGAGGCAGCAGUAAGGAAUAUUGGGCAAUGGCCGCGAGGCUGACCCAGCCAUGCCGCGUGCAGGAAGACGGCCUUAUGGGUUGUAAACUGCUUUUAUACGGGAAUAAUAGAGUGUACGCGUACAUUUAUGCAAGUAUCGUAUGAAUAAGCAUCGGCUAACUCCGUG